UAGUGCUGCAAUGUAAACAUUGCAGUAUCUCUGGAACUGCAAUGUUUAACAUUGCAACCCUA
rnacentral:miRNA from 1 species